rnacentral:misc_RNA from 1 species
UUUUUUUUAAUUUUUUUUUUUAUAGUUUGGCUACAGUUUGUAUUGUUAGGAUUGUCACACGUAUAUUUUUUGGUUGUCCAUCUGCUGCAAUUGUCUUCUUUGUUGGGCUUGGCCACUUGGGAUUUGUCAGUAGUUGUAUAGACACAAAAUACUGGCAAUUAUGCUGGUCCAAUAGUUUCUUAAAUAUUGUCCUGAACUGUUGGAAUGAAGGGUGAGAUUUAGGCAUGUUAACCAUGUGAAUUUGCUUAGUCACUUCAAAACAGCCUCAUCUAGUCUAAACAUAAUUUCAGGAACAUGGAUUUAAAUCACGGUCACGGUUGCGGUUGCGGAUAAUGGAUUAAACUAAAAUAAGUAUGUAGUUAGUAUAGAAAUAACCUUAUUACAACGAAAAAGAGUGUCUAAGAGGUUCUUGAUUAUUUUGACUUUGAUUUUGAGAGCUCUGAUCAUCAACUUGUUGAUGAUAUUGAUACUGUAAUGGAUUAAAGUUGAAGGAAGAAUCCAUAUCGAAGUUGAAGAAAUCAUGAUUAUUUAUUUUUCUUAAA